rnacentral:rRNA from 1 species
UACGUAGGGGGCAAGCGUUGUCCGGAAUCAUUGGGCGUAAAGCGCGUGUAGGCGGUUCGGUAAGUCGGCUGUGAAAGUCCAGGGCUCAACCCUGGGAUGCCGGUCGAUACUGCCGGACUAGAGUUCGGAAGAGGCGAGUGGAAUUCCCGGUGUAGCGGUGAAAUGCGCAGAUAUCGGGAGGAACGCCGAUGGCGAAGGCAGCUCGCUGGGACGUUACUGACGCUGAGGCGCGAAAGCGUGGGGAGCAAACAGG